rnacentral:rRNA from 1 species
GACGAACGCUGGCGGCGUGCUUAACACAUGCAAGUCGUACGGAAAGGCCCUGCUUUUGUGGGGUGCUCGAGUGGCGAACGGGUGAGUAACACGUGAGUAACCUGCCCUUGACUUUGGGAUAACUUCAGGAAACUGGGGCUACUACCGGAUAGGAGAUCCUGCUGCAUGGUGGGGGUUGGAAAGUUUCGGCGGUUGGGGAUGGACUCGCGGCUUAUCAGCUUGUUGGUGGGGUAGUGGCUUACCAAGGCUUUGAAGGGUAGCCGGCCUGCGAGGGUGACCGGCCACAUUGGGACUGAGAUACGGCCCAGACUCCUACGGGAGGCAGCAGGGGGGAAUAUGGCACAAUGGGCGGAAGCCUGAUGCAGCAACGCCGCGUGCGGGAUGACCGCCUUCGGGUUGUAAACCGCUUUCGCCUGUGACGAAGCGUGAGUGACGGUAAUGAGUAAAGAAGCACCGGCUAACUACGUG